rnacentral:rRNA from 1 species
ACUACGGGUGGCAGCAGUGAGGAAUAUUGGUCAAUGGGCGAGAGCCUGAACCAGCCAAGUCGCGUGAGGGAGUACUGCCCUAUGGGUUGUAAACCUCUUUUGUCGGGGAGCAAAAGCCGGAAGUGUCCGGCUGUGAGAGUACCCGAAGAAAAAGCAUCGGCUAACGCCGUGCCAGCCGCCGCGGUAAUACGGAGGAUGCGAGCGUUAUCCGGGUUUAUUGGGUUUAAAGGGUGCGCAGGCGGAUUUUUAAGUCAGCGGUCAAAUCGUGGGGCUCAACCCCAUCCAGCCGUUGAGACUGGGGAUCCGGAGUGUGCGAGAGGUAUGCGGAAUGCGUGGUGUAGCGGUGAAAUGCAUAGAUAUCACGCAGAACCCCGAUUGCGAAGGCAGCAUACCGGUGCACAACUGACGCUCAGGCACGAAAGCGUGGGUAUCGAACAGGAUUAGAUACCCCUGUAGUC